rnacentral:rRNA from 1 species
CAGUCGCACGAGAGUGGAGCAAUCCAUGAAAGUGGCGCACGGGUGCGUAACACGUAGAUAAUCUGCCCUUCAGCGGGGGAUAACGUUCCGAAAGGAGCGCUAAUACCGCAUACAGCAGUUGGUGGUUCGCCAUCGAUUGGCAAAGGCUGGGACCUUCGGGCCAGCCACUGGAGGAGGAGUCUGCGGCCCAUCAGCUAGUUGGUAAGGUAAUGGCUUACCAAGGCAAAGACGGGUAGCUGGUCUGAGAGGAUGAUCAGCCACACUGGUACUGGAACACGGACCAGACUCCUACGGGAGGCAGCAGUGGGGAAUCUUGGUCAAUGGGCGCAAGCCUGAACCAGCGACGCCGCGUGAGUGAUGAAGGCCUUCGGGUUGUAAAGCUCUGUGGGGAGAGACGAAAGAAUCGGUUCUAACAGGACCGAAGUUGACGGUAUCUCCUUAGCAAGCACCGGCUAACUCUGUGCCAGCAGCCGCG